AAGGCUUUGGAUUUAAAGUCGACCAAUGAGGAAGAAUCACUGUCAUUGAUCAGAUUCUACCACACGAUUGCCAAGCCAGCCUGGUGGAGAGCCUCCUCGCUACAACUCUCAACAUCUUCUUCUUUCUUCUUUUCUUCUUCUUUUUCCUCUACUUCUUCUCCCCUACAAAUGUUAUAAUUUUUCCUUUGGUAUUGAAAACACCUAACAUCCUGUUAAGGACAUUUUGCAUUAAAUGUACAUGUCAUCGAGCG
rnacentral:misc_RNA from 1 species